rnacentral:misc_RNA from 1 species
UCUUCAUACUUUGCACGAAUGAAAUUCUCAAUUCCAACUCUGUCAUAAUUAGGGGGCAACUCAGCUUCCCAGUGGCAAUUUGAUUUCUCAUUCCCCAUGGACUGGAUUAAUGCAAUUUGCUCUGGAAGCCAUGUGUCUAAAGUGGCAGAUCUUACCUUGGAUACGUGAACUCCAAGACUUCUAUGUAUCCCUGAGCAUUGCAUGCAAAUGAAGAUUCCCAGAUUUACACUAGUCCAUCUUGGACCUUUGCUUUUGCAAUCAGCACAUUCCCUAUUUUCUGGUAAUUUAAGGAGACCUUCCAAGAUCUUUCU